rnacentral:rRNA from 1 species
GAUGAACGCUGGCGGCGUGCUUAACACAUGCAAGUCGAACGAAGCACUUUAUUUGAUUUCCUUCGGGACUGAUUAUUUUGUGACUGAGUGGCGGACGGGUGAGUAACGCGUGGGUAACCUGCCUUGUACAGGGGGAUAACAGUUGGAAACGGCUGCUAAUACCGCAUAAGCGCACAGCAUCGCAUGAUGCAGUGUGCAAAACUCCGGUGGUAUAAGAUGGACCCGCGUUGGAUUAGCUAGUUGGUGAGGUAACGGCCCACCAAGGCGACGAUCCAUAGCCGACCUGAGAGGGUGACCGGCCACAUUGGGACUGAGACACGGCCCAAACUCCUACGGGAGGCAGCAGUGGGGAAUAUUGCACAAUGGGCGAAAGCCUGAUGCAGCGACGCCGCGUGAGCGAAGAAGUAUUUCGGUAUGUAAAGCUCUAUCAGCAGGGAAGAUAAUGACGGUACCUGACGAAGAAGCACCGGCUAAAUACGUG